rnacentral:rRNA from 1 species
UACGUAGGGUGCAAGCGUUGUCCGGAAUUAUUGGGCGUAAAGAGCUCGUAGGCGGUUUGUCGCGUCUGCUGUGAAAACCCGAGGCUCAACCUCGGGCCUGCAGUGGGUACGGGCAGACUAGAGUGCGGUAGGGGAGAUUGGAAUUCCUGGUGUAGCGGUGAAAUGCGCAGAUAUCAGGAGGAACACCGAUUGCGAAGGCAGCUCGCUGGGACGUUACUGACGCUGAGACGCGAAAGCGUGGGGAGCAAACAGG